rnacentral:tRNA from 1 species
GGGAAUGUGGCUUAGUGGUAGAGUGCUUGCCUGGCAUGCAUGAAGCCCUGGGUUCAAUUCCUCAGCACCA